rnacentral:rRNA from 1 species
UGGGGAAUAUUGGACAAUGGGCGCAAGCCUGAUCCAGCCAUGCCGCGUGAGUGACGAAGGCCUUAGGGUUGUAAAGCUCUUUUGGCGGGGAAGAUAAUGACGGUACCCGCAGAAUAAGCUCCGGCUAACUUCGUGCCAGCAGCCGCGGUAAUACGAAGGGAGCUAGCGUUGUUCGGAAUCACUGGGCGUAAAGCGCACGUAGGUGGGCAGUUAAGUCAGGGGUGAAAGCCCGAGGCUCAACCUCGGAAUUGCCUCUGAUACUGGCUGUCUAGAGUCCGAGAGAGGUGGGUGGAAUUCCUAGUGUAGAGGUGAAAUUCGUAGAUAUUAGGAAGAACACCGGUGGCGAAGGCGGCCCACUGGCUCGGUACUGACACUGAGGUGCGAAAGCGUGGGGAGCAAACAGGAUUAGAUACCCCAGUAGUCCCUGAGCGGGCUGGCAAGGCGCAU